UUUGACAAGUUGUUAAAUAUUAACGCAUCGUGUGCGAGAGAGGGGAUAAAGGCUGAGAAAGCGAGAGAUAAAAGAAAAUUACCAGAAAGAU
rnacentral:ribozyme from 1 species